rnacentral:piRNA from 1 species
UGAGAUUAAAGAUAUGUGCCACCAUGC